rnacentral:rRNA from 1 species
CCAAUAGCGUAUAUUAAAGUUGUUGCAGUUAAAAAGCUCGUAGUUGAAUUUCGGGAUCGACGGGUCGGUCGCGCCUCUGGUGUGUACUGGCCCUGUCGGUUUCUCCCUUCUGACGAACCACGAUGUCAUUAAUUUGGUGUCGUGGGAAAUCAGGACUGUUACUUUGAAAAAAUUAGAGUGUUUAAAGCAAGCAUUCGCUUGAAUACAUUAGCAUGGAAUA